UUAUACUUUAAGCUGUUGUCGUAGUUCAACAACAAAUUAUUAUCGUUUUGUACUGCUUGUAGGCAUCAUGGCAGAGGUUAUUAAGUAGGGAAUCUCUUAUCACCAGCAGCAAGUUUUCCAAGAGAUUCAGCCAGGAAAGGAUGAGUUUCCAGCAGUGAAGGACACGGAAGAAAUUACUGCAGUUGGGGCAGAAGACAUGGAUUUCGAGUAGCCUGCUCUGGGCCAACUUUUGGCCCACUGUUCACAGCUCCUGAAGGGGAGUCUUGAGAGCUGCUGAACUGUUCAAGCUUGCUAAGCAAUCCUGUCUGCUCCUGGAAUUCUGGAACAGCUCCGUGAACCGCUUGCAGUUGCAGUCCAGGUCGCUUCCCGCUGCUGGGGGAAAGGACAGGAGGAGGUGGGUGGCACCGGCGUAGGAUGGGCGCCCGAGGACCUGGAGCCAGGUCCUGUACUCCUGGCACUGAUGUUUGGCCAGAAGAACCUGACCAAGUGGCACCCAGGAAGGACGUCCCUCUGCUGUCAUUCGGAUCUGGUGCUCGACUGUAAUUGC
rnacentral:lncRNA from 1 species